AGCAUGGGCUCGGCUGGGCCGUGUGCAGCUCUGUGGGUGUGCGGGUCCGUUGCCGGCAAUGCUGGCCGUGUGGGCGGGGAAUGCCCGAAGGAUUCACACAGUCACACUACGGUUUGGUUUGGAAGGGAGCUCUGGUGAUCCUCCAGUCCAAACCCCUGCAGGCAGGGUCGCCUGCAACAAGUGGCACAGGAACGUGUCCAGGUGGGGUUUGAACGUCACCAGAAGAGAGAAUCCACGGUCUCCCUGGGCAGCCUGUGCCAGUGUUCUGCCGCUGUAAAGUUCUUCCUCCUGUUGAGGGGGAUCUUGUGUGUUGGUGUAUGGCUACUGCUUAUCAUCCUGUUGCUGGGCACCACCACUGCAAAGAGUCUGGCACCAUCCUCUUGGCACCCACCUUUGAGAUACUGACAUGCAUUAAUGUGAUCCCCUCUCAGUGGUCUCUAGUCUAAAUAGGCCCAGCUUCCAGUUUCCCCUCAUAAAAGAGGUGCUCCAGACCCCAAAUGAUCUUUGUGGGCCUCCACUGGACCCUCUCCAGUAGCUCCUUGUCUUUCUUGUACUGAGGAGCCUGGAACCACAGUGUGCCUUCUCACUUAAAAACAGAUAUGCAGGAUAGAUGCCUGAUUCCUUCAUAGCAGAUUUUCUUCCAAUGUAGAAAUGAGUUUUGUCAAUUAUAUCUUCCAAUGUAGAGGCUUGUAUUUUAUGUUUUUUAAUCCAAAACUAUUUUUUCAAUGUUCUUUGCUAAUCAUCAAAUAAAUAAUUAAUAGAAAUACAGUAGUUUUCCUGUCCACCAAACAGAAAUUGGUUUAUGUUUCUGAGCUCUGAAUGUUUAUAAGUGUUCACUGGUGGGCUGUAUCAGAACUGCAGUGUUUGAGGAAGGGAAGGCAUAAAGGUUACAUAAGACACAAUUGUGAUUAUACGUUUUGAAUUACGUUGUGUACAAAAUGUAUUUACACUGACUUCCAGAAAGGUAAACUUCCAUAACUAUUGUCUAUAUAUGCCACAUGAGAAACAAAGGAGUUAGUGACCCGUUUGUGCAUGCUGGGUCAGGAAAUGCUAGAAGUGUCUAUUUCUAGAAUUUGGUAGCUGGCUGUACCUGAGCCCAAUGUUUUAAUUGCUGUGCAGUGUGAGACUCCUGGUGAACAAUUCGCUGGGAGGUUCAAAUCUCUGAAAAGGCUUAGCCAGAUCUUUUAGCAUCCUGUUUAAAAAGAGCAGAGACAGACAAUACUGCAUCUAUACAGGACAACAUGUAAAUGUCUCAAGGGUGCUAGUUUUCUCCCUUGGGAUGAAAUGUUAGAGCAAAGUACAGCCUUCCAUGUAGAUUGGCAAAGGAGUGGCAAUUAAAUGCAGAAGGCAAAAACUACUCUUGGGUACACAAGACUUUAUUAGAAUAAGGGAGCAGCACUGGGCACACUACAACACCCAAUAGGAGCCAAGGAAACCUAUAUGGUGGGAGUGUUUGAGCUGUGAGAUGCCAACCCCACUUGAGUGAGAACAGCCGUGAACAAUUGCCUGUAUGUGCACCCUUAUAAAUAUACAGAUUGGUUUUGGGGUGCAGACUGACUGGCCUCAACAGAAUUGAAAUUUCUGCCUUCCAGCUUACAGCCCUGUCUCACAACUGCUGUCUGAGGCUGCUAGCAAGGAUUUAAUUUAAUGCUGAAAUCCUUGCAGGUGUGACAGUCUGAAUAAUGUGCUGAAUUGUGCGUGUCCGUGUGGGAGUUCAGGUGCAGCACCAGUGCUACCUCGUGGUGGAGGUGGAAGAAUUAAGUGUUGUAGCCCUUGUAUACUUGAAGACGGUCCUGUCAGGAGAGGUGGAGAUAGUGCCCUGGAGAGAGAAGAGGAGAGAAUGCUGCAGAUGAGGUGGGAAAAUCAACAGCUAAAAUAUGAAAUGUUGUUGCCAGAUUUAGACUAUUAGAAUAAAUUACAAAAGGUGACAAAGAACUUGUGACUACUUUGGGUUUGUGAUCACUUUGCAUUUUACUUGGGCUUUUGAAAUAUGAUGUCUCCAGGUUACUGAGAUUCCCUGAUUAUUUGACCAACAGUUAAUUGAAAUCACACAAGAGGAGUUGUGUAUCACUGCUGAGUUUUGCUGUCUGUGACAGAACAGACUCUUUGUUGUGAUUGCUGACUUCUUGCCCACUCUCCUGAUUUAUCCUAUUGGCAGGAAUACAUGGCGCCAGUAGGUUGGCUCAAGACAAUUUUCUAACAAUAAUCUUUGGCUAAAAGGAAAGUCACAGGGUGUCUGCAAUCCAUGUUCCUAUUGUCUGGUUUGUGCUAGAACUACUGGUGUCAGGAGUGUCACAGUCCCUGUGGCACCAGUGAUACCAGUGGUAGGUGAGAAAAUUGUUUUAUGGAGUAGCAAUGCAAGCUGGGAGUGGAGGGUGACAGUAAGUCAUGCAUGACAGUGGCUUCACCAGCAAGUACCAUAGCACCCAAACAAGAAUAGCAAAGCAGUUCUGGUGGUGGCUAGAAGUUCAGCCAAGAGUACAGAUCACCAGUAACCAUCCCAGUGAGCACAGUGACAAGGAGAUCUGAGGUCAAGCCAGAAAAACCAAGCCAGUGAGUCAGGGUCAGAAUCAGGUUCAGUGACAAUAAGCAGGACCAACCAGCCACCAGUCUUGUCAUCAUUAGACAAGCCCACAGUGAUGGGAAGGAUCCAAGAUCAUCUUAGUUAGGUCAGGGUUGGAUCAGUGUGUGUGGCCAGGCGCAGUCAUACCCGUAGCAUAGCUGAGUCAAGGACUAAGGGAGAGUGCUUCAAUGCAGGCACAGCUCUUGAGCAAAGUAGGUGGCACUCAAUUCUUACAGCUCUUUUUCACACAGCACUCUAAUCCAAGGUCACUUAGCUGCACAGAGCUGCCUUUGAGCACAAGCACCUUAAUGCUGACUAAGCCCCCAAGAAAGGGUCUAAUUAAGAACUUCACCCCAGCUGAGGGACAUACAUAUGUGACUGACUCAGUUUAUGUGGCUUAGUAUUUGUGUGCCAGAGUUUAUUUUAAAGACAUGUAAACCAUCAUAAUUUAUGACCAACUGGAGGAAUGGCCAGACAUACUCUCUGUACAUUAUUAAAUGCUGUAAAUAAUUCAGAAUUGAGGGAAUCAUAUGGAUCCUUGAUUCAUAUGGGUGUAUUUUCCUCCUCUUUUGACACAAUGCUCCUGUUAUCUUGGCAUACAAAAUUCUUUGGAUUUUCUUUUUCCUUUCUGCUGGGCCUUAAGACAUGACUGUCUUUGAACUCAGAAGAGGAUCCCAAGCUCAUCCAAGCUUGGAAAAUGAGCUAUGCUAAGGCAUUCAACAAAUAUUGCAAAGUGCCUGGGUUUUUAGCGACCUGCCAGGACUGACAGGACUGGUCAGGACUGACAGGCCUUCAGAGUGUGUGCCUCCAAACGGUGCCAUGGUCCUCUCUCUAGGACAUUUAAUGCUACAAAUGCUUUCAGCACUGACAUGCAGUCACACUGCUGAAAAUACAUUGCCUAUGAUAAAUUACAGCCACAACCCCCUCAAUUCUGGCUACAGUUGCUACAGUGGAAUGCUUGCUUGGGGGCUGACUUGACUCUGCAGGCAGAAGGAACUCAUUCACUCCCUUUGCAUUGGUAGGGCACCCAGUCUUGUGUCUUGGGAGAAAAAAAUAAGACUUAGAAGGGAAAGGUCAUGUCAGGUCUUCACUGGGAAGGUGCUCAGAUGAAUAAAUGUACUUCCAGGUGGACAUGCAAGACAUAUGUGAUCAGUUCUCACCGAACUCCUCUUAUUUCUGAGGUAGGGAUUCCAAGUGACAUGAAUUUUUAGUGGGCAGCAGUAACCAAGAGGUGCAGCUUUUUUCCCUUUGAAUGCUGGAACACAUAUUGGAGGGCUAAGCAGUUCCUGAUAUAAUAUUUCAGGAGUAUUACACUGUAGCAAAAAAAUACACACCACCUGUGUUGGAGGUCCUUUCAGAUGUCUUACAUUACUUACCUUUUGUCUUCUUGCUUAUAUUUUGGAAGCCUGACUAGCUGUGUUCCAAGCACAUCCAAGAACCCCCAGGUCCAGAAUAAAAUAAAUGUGACAGCAGGCUCAAUACUAUUAAUAGAGUUACUAUUAUUAGUUCCUGAGGUAGUCUUGGUCUUAGCUGAUGGAUUAACUUCAGACACUGAGGGAAGCUCAUGAUGUCUAUAGGUGGCUGAAGUCCAAAUCUGUCAGGUGUAGGCACACAGUUUGUGGCAACUGGGAGUGGGGCUGUGGCAGAGCCUCAUCCCCAAUGGGUACAGCUGUGAAAAGCAGGUGAGCAGCAUUGAAGGUAAUGAGCCAUGGAGUGCCCAGGUGCACUGACCAACCACCAAAGGGAACAGAGAGCACACAGGUGCAAUGCAUGAACAAUGAGGGCUGUAAAUGUUGAGCUAAAGAACAAAAAGGAUAGCUGUUUGAAGUCUGCUGAGGUGGUGGUGGUGUUCUGUAUGGGCUGAUGCUUGAAGCCUUCUGAAAUUGUAUGGUGGUACUCUGUAUAUUGUGCCUAUCUCAACUAUGGCAUAUGCUGUGAUGGUAAGAUGGCACAGAACUGGCUCAUACUUUUUUCCCUAAAUUUGGCAGCCUUGUGCAUAUGGACACAGAGAGGAUGUUUUGAAGGGAAAAGAAAGUAGUCAAGAAUGAAGUUAAAUUAUUUAUGGUGAGCAGAUGGAUUUAGGAAGUCUGCCUGCUGAGACAGAGGCAUGACUCUGCAAAUCAGGUAAGUGCUUAGUGGUCACGGAUAAAUCCUCUCCACAACCUUGGGAUUGUUCAUAGUAUAUGUAUGGUGCUGGGGGUAAAUAUUGCAUUCAAAUUUACAGUUCUUUUUAAAUUAAGAACUUCUGCAGUAGAGUACAUAUAGACUUUAUGAAACACUGUAUUUAUACAGCUGAGCACAUUCUCAGUGGCACACUACACUUUCUUUCCUGGCAGGGGGUUUCAGCAGCCUUCAUAAUCCUGAUAUUUUGUUUCUUUUUAUCUAGGUUCUACUGCUGCUUACCUCUAUUUUCUGAGGCAGAUUCUGCACUCUAUAUAUAUGAUUUAUUCAUGCUAAGCUUUCUUGGACCUCAUUAAGACUGUUUCCUGCUAAGUCAUGAAGAAACAAUGCAUACUUAGGCUCUCUGGUACAUAUGCCAUUAUUAAUUUCAUCUCUAAAUUUGGUUGCCUGAACUUUGACUGUUACUACCAAUAGCAACUGACCACAAACAUCCUUAACAGUAACAGCAUUACAGAGCAAGUGUGACCCCCUGGAAAAAGAAGGAUGACUGUGUGACUCCCUUCUCAUCUCUCUAUUCACCGUCUCCAAACUCUCCCUCACUCCAGGCCUUGUAUCCCAUCUACAUCUGGGUACACUUUUCCUUCCUCAAGUGGUUCAGUGUCUCUUGUAUCCUCUUCCCUCAGAAUAGCCACCAUGAGUCUCCUCUCUUUGAUCCUGCUCCUCUUCUCUUUCACAGACUUAUUUGAACACUUGAGACCUAAACUUGAGAUAUUCUCAAGGAUUUAAUCAACUUAUUUUCUCAGAGGUGCGCUGUUCCUACUGCUGUUGGAAGUGCAGGAUGUGCUAACUAGAGGCUCCAAAUACUGCUUUCUGGUUGACUCUGGUAUCAGAACCAGACAAUUCCUGCCCAAGGAUGUUUGUAGUAUUCUUUCAAUACUCUGUUAGUUAUUGAAUGUCAUGUUGUACAGUUAUGCUAUUAAAGGCAAACAUAAAUAAGCAA